AAAUUGAAGAGUUUGAUCAUGGCUCAGAUUGAACGCUGGCGGCAGGCCUAACACAUGCAAGUCGAACGGUAACAGGAAGCAGCUUGCUGCUUUGCUGACGAGUGGCGGACGGGUGAGUAAUGUCUGGGAAACUGCCUGAUGGAGGGGGAUAACCACUGGAAACGGUGGCUAAUACCGCAUAACGUCGCAAGACCAAAGAGGGGGACCUUCGGGCCUCUUGCCAUCAGAUGUGCCCAGAUGGGAUUAGCUUGUUGGUGAGGUAACGGCUCACCAAGGCGACGAUCCCUAGCUGGUCUGAGAGGAUGACCAGCCACACUGGAACUGAGACACGGUCCAGACUCCUACGGGAGGCAGCAGUGGGGAAUAUUGCACAAUGGGCGCAAGCCUGAUGCAGCCAUGCCGCGUGUAUGAAGAAGGCCUUCGGGUUGUAAAGUACUUUCAGCGGGGAGGAAGGUGUUGUGGUUAAUAACC
rnacentral:rRNA from 1 species